rnacentral:rRNA from 1 species
GAUGAACGCUGGCAGCGUGCCUAAUACAUGCAAGUCGAGCGAACGGACGAGAAGCUUGCUUCUCUGAUGUUAGCGGCGGACGGGUGAGUAACACGUGGAUAACCUACCUAUAAGACUGGGAUAACUUCGGGAAACCGUAGCUAAUACCGGAUAAUAUUUUGAACCGCAUGGUUCAAAAGUGAAAGACGGUCUUGCUGUCACUUAUAGAUGGAUCCGCGCUGCAUUAGCUAGUUGGUAAGGUAACGGCUUACCAAGGCAACGAUGCAUAGCCGACCUGAGAGGGUGGUCGGCCACACUGGAACUGAGACACGGUCCAGACUCCUACGGGAGGCAGCAGUAGGGAAUCUUCCGCAAUGGGCGAAAGCCUGACGGAGCAACGCCGCGUGAGUGAUGAAGGUCUUCGGAUCGUAAAACUCUGUUAUUAGGGAAGAACAUAUGUGUAAGUAACUGUGCACAUCUUGACGGUACCUAAUCAGAAAGCCACGGCUAACUACGUG